AGAGCGAACGCUGGCGGCAGGCCUAACACAUGCAAGUCGAACGGACUCUUCGGAGUUAGUGGCGGACGGGUGAGUAACACGUGGGAACGUGCCUUUUGGUUCGGAAUAGCUCCUGGAAACGGGUGGUAAUGCCGAAUGUGCCCUUCGGGGGAAAGAUUUAUCGCCAUUAGAGCGGCCCGCGUCUGAUUAGCUAGUUGGUGAGGUAAAGGCUCACCAAGGCUACGAUCAGUAGCUGGUCUGAGAGGAUGACCAGCCACAUUGGGACUGAGACACGGCCCAAACUCCUACGGGAGGCAGCAGUGGGGAAUCUUGCGCAAUGGGCGAAAGCCUGACGCAGCCAUGCCGCGUGAAUGAUGAAGGUCUUAGGAUUGUAAAAUUCUUUCACCGGGACGAUAAUGACGGUACCGAGAAGAAGCCCGCUAACUCGCGCCAGCAGCCGC
rnacentral:rRNA from 1 species